UGCGUGCGUGCGUGCAUGCGUGCGUGUGUGUGUGUGUGUGUGAUAUUGUGAGAUACCAAGUAUCUAUGUUAUGAAAGGUAGUAUGAUAGAUGGAUCUAUGUUAGCAACAACAGGUCAACAUUAACCAGCUGUGGCACAGAAUGCUAGUUUACAUUGUAUCAAUCCACUUCACAUAUAGUCACGUUCUUAUGUCAGGCGGUGGCUACAGAAACAUAUUCAUUACAUAUACACACCUUCUUGCCAAGCACAACAAGAAGUACUAGCCUAUUCUGUAUUUCGCAACACCUUCAAAACACAGAUAAAGUAAACCUCAGGGAGAAACACAGCCCCAAAUAUUACAUCUUCACUAUCCAUGGAGAAGACAGCUAGGACUAUAACACUUCUUUUCAACAAUGAACUUUGCUAUUUCUGAUUAUUAUUCAUAUACUACAAAGCCAAAACUGCAGCAUAGGAAAUUGAUGUCCACUAUACUAAACAUAUGUAUCCUCUACAUCAGCAGUCAACAAAAGACGAACUUGACAACCUACAGAAUUGGUAACAGAAUGGCAAAUGUGUGGAUAAUAACAACUUGAAGUAUCUUUCAUUGUAACAAUGAAAAUAAAGGACCAUUUCAACAAAUAAACAA